rnacentral:rRNA from 1 species
GACGAACGCUGGCGGCGUGCUUAACACAUGCAAGUCGAGCGGUAAGGCCCUUUCGGGGGUACGACGAGCGGCGAACGGGUGAGUAACACGUGGGUGACCUGCCCUCAGCUCUGGGAUAAGCCUGGGAAACUGGGUCUAAUACUGGAUAUGACUCCACGGUGCAUGUCGUGGGGUGGAAAGCCUUGUGCGGCUGAGGAUGGGCCCGCGGCCUAUCAGCUUGUUGGUGGGGGAUGGCCUACCAAGGCGACGACGGGUAGCCGGCCUGAGAGGGCGGACCGGCCACACUGGGACUGAGACACGGCCCAGACUCCUACGGGAGGCAGCAGUGGGGAAGUCUUGCGCAAUGGGCGAAAGCCUGACGCAGCGACGCCGCGUGAGGGAUGACGGCCU